rnacentral:rRNA from 1 species
AGAUUAAUGCUGGCAGUUAAUGAGUUAAAUGUUUAUAGUAAAGACAAAACAUUAUUAAAUUUAGUAAAGGUGAUCGAAAUUUAAUAAAUCCUCUGCAUGAAUGUAGUACUGUGAAGGAAAUUAAAAAAACUAAGAAUUAGAAAUAAUUAAAAUGUGUACCUUUUGCAUCAUGGCUUAACUAGAUUUAAACCUAGAUAGGAAGUCUCGAAAUCUAGGUGAGCUAUUCUUAUUCUGCUUUAUAGACUAAUGGUGAGUUGGUUGUGGCAAAAACUUCUCUAGAAAUAAGAAUAGAUAUGAAAUUUUAUUCGCAUUAGGUGAUAGCUAGUUCUUCUUUAAAGGCAUAUUAGUGCCCUGAGCUAUAGGUCUAAUAGCAUAAAUAGAAGUUUGUGUUAUGUAUACUGGCUUCGUUAGAUUUUCAAGGAUAAGCUUGGAAAUAAUUUAAAAUUGCAUUCAAUUUUUUUUGAAAUAUAAGCUUAGUAAUGGCUAUUAACAUGGGAUUUUGUUAUAAUUCAUUUUUUAGUUAUUAAUAUAAUUUAUUUGCUUAAUUAGUAGUAAAGAAGGAAUUUUAAUGAUCUUAUUAUAAAGUGUUUUUAUGUUAAGAUGAGUAUUAAGUUAUUUAUUAGUUAAACUAAGAAAUUAAAAUUUAGUAUUAUAUAAAAUAUUUUAAAACGAAAUCGUGAAAAGGAACUCGGCAAAACCAUAUUCUGCCUGUUUAUCAAAAACAUGGCUUCGUGUUAAAAUUAAAAUACGAAGUCGGACCUGCCCAGUGAGUUUUAAACGGCCGCGGUACUCUGACCGUGCAAAGGUAGCAUAAUCACUUGCCUUAUAAUUGAAGGCUGGAAUGAAUGGUUUGACAAGAAUAUAUCUGUCUCUUUUAGAUUAUUUAGAAUUUUAUUUUUGGGUGAAAAAGUCCAGAUAUAAUUAAAAGACAAGAAGACCCUAUCGAGCUUUAGAAAAGUUAAUAGAUUUAAUAUAAACCAAUAUAAUUAAAAGAAGAGCUAUUAAAUAUUUUGGUUGGGGCAACCAAGGAGCAAAUAAAACCUCCUUUAAACUAUAAAUCUUACUUGUGUUGAUCCAAGAAUAUUGAUUAAAGGAAUUAGUUACCGUAGGGAUAACAGCAUAAUCUUUUUCAAGAGCCCAUAUCGAAAAAAAGGUUUGUGACCUCGAUGUUGGACCAGAAUGUCCUAAAGAUGCAGAAGUCUUUAAGGGUUGGUCUGUUCGACCAUUAAAAUUCUACGUGAUCUGAGUUCAGACCGGCGUGAGCCAGGUCAGUUUCUAUCUUUAUAUUUUUUGGUUAUGUUUAGUACGAAAGGACCGAUGUAACGUAUGAAAUACUUUAAUCAGAUCAAAUAUAAUUUAACUUUAA